rnacentral:rRNA from 1 species
AUUGAACGCUGGCGGCAGGCUUAACACAUGCAAGUCGAGCGGGGAAAGGUAGCUUGCUCCCUGACCUAGCGGCGGACGGGUGAGUAAUGCUUAGGAAUCUGCCUAUUAGUUGGGGACAACAUCUCGAAAGGGAUGCUAAUACCGCAUACGUCCUACGGUAGAAAGCAGGGGACCUUCGGGCCUUGCGCUAAUAGAUGAGCCUAAGUCGGAUUAGCUAGUUGGUGGGGUAAAGGCCUACCAAGGCGACGAUCUGUAUCGGGUCUGAGAGGAUGAUCCGCCAAACUGGGACUGAGACACGGCCCAGAAUCCUACGGGAGGCAGCAGUGGGGAAUAUUGGACAAUGGGGGGAACCCUGAUCCAGCCAUGCCGCGUGUGUGAAGAAGGCCUUUUGGUUGUAAAGCACUUUAAGCGAGGAGGAGGCUACCGAGAUUAAUACUCUUGGAUAGCGGACGUUACUCGCAGAAUAAGCACCGGCUAACUCUGUG